GGCUUUUAGAUGAUUGUUACCUUCAUCUUGC
rnacentral:piRNA from 1 species